GGGAGUGUACCAGAGUGGUCAAAUGGGACGGACUGUAAAUCCGUUGGUUACGCCUUCCUAGGUUCGAAUCCUAGCACUCCCACCA
rnacentral:tRNA from 1 species